rnacentral:rRNA from 1 species
GAUGAACGCUGGCGGCGUGCCUAAUACAUGCAAGUCGAGCGAACAGACGAGGAGCUUGCUCCUCUGACGUUAACGGCGGACGGGUGAGUAACACGUGGAUAACCUACCUAUAAGACUGGGAUAACUUCGGGAAACCGGAGCUAAUACCGGAUAAUAUAUUGAACCGCAUGGUUCAAUAGUGAAAGACGGUUUUGCUGUCACUGAUAGAUGGAUCCGCGCCGCAUUAGCUAGUUGGUAAGGUAACGGCUUACCAAGGCAACGAUGCGUAUCCGACCUGUGAGGGUGAUAGGACCCACUGGCACCGAGACACGGUCGAGAAUCCUACGGGAGGAAGCAGUAGGGAGUCUUCCGCACUGGGCGAAAGUCUGCCGGAGCAACGCCGCGUGAGUCAUGAAGGUCCUCGGAUCGUAAAACUCUGUUAUUAGGGAAGAACAAAUGUGUAAGUAACUAUGCACGUCUUGACGGUACCUAAUCAGAAAGCCACGGCUACCUCCGUC